GAUGGAGUGCUUGCACUCCAGGCGUCGAGCGGCGGACGGGUGAGUAAUACUUGGGAAUCUGCCUGAGGGCGGGGGACAACCACUGGAAACGGUGGCUAAUACCGCAUAAUGUCUACGGACCAAAGUGUGGGACCUACGGGCCACACGCCUUCAGAUGAGCCCAAGCGAGAUUAGGUAGUUGGUGGGGUAAAGGCCUACCAAGCCGACGAUCUCUAGCUGGUUUGAGAGGAUGAUCAGCCACACUGGGACUGAGACACGGCCCAGACUCCUACGGGAGGCAGCAGUGGGGAAUAUUGGACAAUGGGGGCAACCCUGAUCCAGCCAUGCCGCGUGUGUGAAGAAGGCCUUCGGGUUGUAAAGCACUUUCAGUGGUGAGGAAAGCGUUGUCGUUAAUAGCGGCGACGAUUGACGUUAGCCACAGAAGAAGCACCGGCUAACUCCGUGCCAGCAGCCGCGGUAAUACGGAGGGUGCGAGCGUUAAUCGGAAUUACUGGACGUAAAGCGCACGUAGGCGGUUUGCUAAGCAAGAUGUGAAAGCCCAGAGCUCAACUCUGGAAUAGCAUUUUGAACUGGCAGGCUAGAGUUUUGGAGAGGGUGGUAGAAUUUCCAGUGUAGCGGUGAAAUGCGUAGAUAUUGGAAGGAAUACCAGUGGCGAAGGCGGCCACCUGGCCAAAAACUGACGCUGAGGAGCGAAAGCGUGGGGAGCGAACAGGAUUAGAUACCCUGGUAGUCCACGCUGUAAACGAUGUCGACUAGUUGUUCGCCCCGUUGGGGGUGAGUAACGCAGCUAACGCACUAAGUCGACCGCCUGGGGAGUACGGGCGCAAGGUUAAAACUCAAAUGAAUUGACGGGGGCCCGCACAAGCGGUGGAGCAUGUGGUUUAAUUCGAUGCAACGUGAAGAACCUUACCAUCCCUUGACAUCCA
rnacentral:rRNA from 1 species